rnacentral:rRNA from 1 species
AGUCGAGGGGCAGCAGGGGUAGCAAUACCCCGCUGGCGACCGGCGGACGGGUGCGUAACGCGUAUGCAACCUACCCGUAACAGGGGAAUAACGGAGGGAAACCUCCACUAAUGCCCCAUAUAGUCAGGGGACCGCAUGGUUUCGUGACGAAAGCUUCGGUGGUUACGGACGGGCAUGCGUGGCAUUAGGCGGUUGGCGGGGUAACGGCCCACCAAACCUACGAUGCCUAGGGGAGCUGAGAGGCUAAUCCCCCACACUGGUACUGAGACACGGACCAGACUCCUACGGGAGGCAGCAGUGAGGAAUAUUGGUCAAUGGACGGAAGUCUGAACCAGCCAUGCCGCGUGAAGGAAGACGGCCCUAUGGGUUGUAAACUUCUUUUAGCCGGGAGUAAUAAGGCGCACGUGCUGCGCCGAUGAAAGUACCGGCGGAAUAAGCAUCGGCUAACUCCGUGCCAGCAGCCGCGGUAAUACGGAGGAUGCAAGCGUUAUCCGGAUUUAUUGGGUUUAAAGGGUGCGUAGGCGGGCGCGUAAGUCAGCGGUGAAAUACCCCUGCUCAACAGGGGGGCUGCCGUUGAUACUGCGUGUCUAGAGUGCGAACGGCGCCGGCGGAAUGUGUCAUGUAGCGGUGAAAUGCAUAGAGAUGACACAGAACACCGAUCGCGAAGGCAGCUGGCGAGCACGACACUGACGCUGAGGCACGAAGGUGCGGGGAUCGAACAGGAUUAGAUACCCUGGUAGUCCGCACAGUAAACGAUGACGACUUGUUGUCGGCGACACACUGCCGGUGACAAAGCGAAAGCGAUAAGUCGUCCACCUGGGGAGUACGAUCGCAAGGUUGAAACUCAAAGGAAUUGACGGGGGCCCGCACAAGCGGAGGAGCAUGUGGUUUAAUUCGAUGAUACGCGAGGAACCUUACCCAGACUCAAAUGUUCGAGGACGCGGCCGGAGACAGCCGUUCCCUUCGGGGCCUCGAGCAAGGUGCUGCAUGGUUGUCGUCAGCUCGUGCCGUGAGGUGUCAGGUUAAGUCCUAUAACGAGCGCAACCCCUACGUCCAGUUGCCAGCGGUGAACCGGGGACUCUGGAGGGACUGCCGGCGCAAGCCGAGAGGAAGGUGGGGAUGACGUCAAAUCAGCACGGCCCUUACGUCUGGGGCGACACACGUGCUACAAUGGCCGGUACAGAGGGCAGCCACCUGCGACAGGGAGCGAAUCUCGAAAGCCGGUCUCAGUUCGGAUCGGAGUCUGCAACCCGACUCCGUGAAGUUGGAUUCGCUAGUAAUCGCGCAUCAGCCAUGGCGCGGUGAAUACGUUCCCGGGCCUUGUACACACCGCCCGUCAAGCCAUGAAAGUCCGUGGUACCUGAAGU